UACGUAGGGUCCGAGCGUUUGUCCGGAAUUACUGGGCGUAAAGAGCUCGUAGGUGGUUUGUCGCGUUGUUCGGUGAAAACUCACAGCUCAACUGUGGGCGUGCGGGCGAUACGGGCAGACUAGAGGUAGGCAGGGGAGAGCGGAACUCCUGGUGUAGCGGUGGAAUGCGCAGAUAUCAGGAAGAACACCAAUGGCGAAAGCAGCUCUCUGGGACGGUACUGACGCUGAGACGCGAAAGCCGUGGGGAGCGAACAGG
rnacentral:rRNA from 1 species